GAUGGCCUUACCCGUCUUGUUGAAGAGCUCGGCCCAGUGGGACACGUUCUGCGAGUUGCCGCAGUUGUCGAUCUUCACACCAUCAAAGCCCAUAUCCUCUACCAUCCACUUGACAUCCUGGU
rnacentral:rRNA from 14 species